rnacentral:rRNA from 1 species
UACGGAGGAUCCGAGCGUUAUCCGGAUUUAUUGGGUUUAAAGGGUGCGUAGGCGGCCUGGUAAGUUCAGGGGUGAAAGACGGAUAGCUUAACUAUCGCAGUGCCCUUGAUGACUGCUGGGCGUUGAAUGUUAGUUGAGGUAGGCGGAAUGUGACAAGUAGCGGUGAAAAUGCAUAGAUAUGUCACAGAACACCAAUUGCGAAGGCAGCUUACUAAAGUAUGAUUGACGCUGGAGGCACGAAAGCGUGGGGAUCAAACAGG